AUUGCCCUUACGGCUCAGUAACACGUAGUCAACAUGCCCAGAGGACGUGGAUAACCUCGGGAAACUGAGGAUAAACCGCGAUAGGUCAUAAUUACUGGAAUGUGUUAUGGCCCAAAUCUAUAUGGCCUCUGGAUUGGACUGCGGCCGAUCAGGCUGUUGGUGAGGUAAUGGCCCACCAAACCUUUUACCGGUACGGGCUUUGAGAGAAGGAGCCCGGAGAUGGACACUGAGACAAGGGCCCAGGCCCUAUGGGGCGCAGCAGGCGCGAAACCUCUGCAAUAGGCGAAAGCCUGACAGGGUUACUCUGAGUGAUGCCCGCUAAGGGUAUCUUUUGGCACCUCUAAAAAUGGUGCAGAAUAAGGGGUGGGCAAGUCUGGUGUCAGCCGCCGCGGUAAUACCAGCACCCCGAGUUGUCGGGACGAUUAUUGGGCCUAAAGCAUCCGUAGCCUGUUCUGCAAGUCCUCCGUUAAAUCCACCUGCUCAACGGAUGGGCUGCGGAGGAUACCGCAGAGCUAGGAGGCGGAAGAGGCAAACGGUACUCAGUGGGUAGGGGUAAAAUCCAUUGAUCUACUGAAGACCACCAGUGGCGAAGGCGGUUUGUCAGAACGCGCUCGACGGUGAGGGAUGAAAGCUGGGGGAGCAAACCGGAUUAGAUACCCGGGUAGUCCCAGCUGUAAACGAUGCAGACUCGGUGAUGGGUUGGCCUCGAGCCAACCCAGUGCCGCAGGGAAGCCGUUAAGUCUGCCGCCUGGGGAGUACGGUCGCAAGACUGAAACUUAAAGGAAUUGGCGGGGGAGCAC
rnacentral:rRNA from 1 species